rnacentral:rRNA from 1 species
GAUGAACACUGGCGGCGUGCUUAACACAUGCAAGUCGAACGGUGAAGCAGGAGCUUGCUCCUGUGGAUCAGUGGCGAACGGGUGAGUAACACGUGAGUAACCUGCCCCAGACUCUGGGAUAAGCGUUGGAAACGACGUCUAAUACCGGAUACGAGACGAGAAGGCAUCUUCAUCGUCUGGAAAGAACUUCGGUCUGGGAU